UCUUCUAUUUUUAUGAGUGUGAAUAGCAAAAUGAAACUUGCAUGUUUCACGACUAUGUGUGGCACUUGAGAUCACGUGACUUUCAACAAGUACAAGAACAGUUUAGAGCUGCUUAUAAAGUGAUGCAUAUUUACAAACAGUUUAUCAACAAGAUAAACUAUUAUUUAUAUUCUAUACGAUUAUAAUACAUUUGUUAUUUGUCAGCUGCAUUUCUCAUUCCAGCUCACUAGAGGGCAGUAAACGUUACAGUGACUUUCAAAGUGCUCGUGAAGAAGUGAAUCCGGUGUGUUUACAGUCAUGGUAGAAGCAGUAAUGAAACUCAACAUUUAUAAAGACAUUAAAAGCAGUCAGACAUGUUUAUUCUGUAAUAGUGCAGAUCAUUAUUGACAGCGGAAAAAGAUGAGGAAUUGUUUUUAAAAUAAUAUAACGUUUAGAAGGCUCGUGUGUGCUUUAAAAUGAUCAGCCAAAUUUUUAUGUUGUCGUCAAAGGGAGAUCACCUCAUAUAUAAAGACUUCCGAGGAGAGGCCAGUAAAGACUCCAUUAAUGUCUUUUAUGAGAUGGUCACAGCUCUAAGUGGUGAUCAGCCUCCGGUAGUCAUGACACACAAAGACCUUCAUUUCAUCCAUGUAAGGCAGGGUGGACUUUAUUUUGUGGCGUCCACCAAGACAAACCCAUCCCCAUUUACCAUAAUCGAGUUCCUUAACAGGUUAAGAAACAUUACCUUUAUCAUUUAUUUUGUACUUAUAUUACAGAAUUCGUAAUGCAUAGUAAAUAUCUUGGUGGUAAUUGCAUAUAUUGCGUUGCUGAUAAGUUGUCUGAACAACAUCAUCUGCAAAACACUUUAUUCUGCUGUAUGGGUCUUGUUACAGUUAUAUUUGUUUUAUGCUUAUCUCUUUUUGUUAAAUGCUUACCUGUAUUACUGCCUAUAGAUCAUACUGCUUACAUUGUCAAGGUCUUGAGUUUAAUUCCUGAAUGUGCAUGUUCAUAAAAUUUCCUUUUUGCAAAUGACUUCAUCCUAAAUGAUUUACAGGGAUUGAAGGUAUUCAUUUGAUCUGUAAUGAACCCAUGACUAUUGUGCUAUAGCUUUAUAAUUUGUAUUAUGAAUUCUGUACCUGUAAACAAAAAUUAAACACAAAAGUUUUGUGAGUCACAGAUUAGCAGCUCUCACAAAGGACUACUGCGGCAGUCUGUCAGAGAAAUCAGUGCGGAUGAAUUUUGCACUCAUUUAUGAGCUGCUGGAUGAGAUGGUGGUAAGCGUUAGAGGUGCUCCGAUAAUUGAUUGGUCGCUGAUCAUAAUCGGCCGAAAAUCACUUUGGGAAGUAUGAUCGGCGGUCUCUAAAAGACCGAUCCAGUAAUGCCGAUGACAUUUUUUUACGCAUUAUGAAAAUGUCUCUUACUGCGUUUUCUAUGUUCAGUGAGCGGCAGAAGCAGCACAUAUAUGACCAAACCACAGCUUUCUAGUGAGUACAAAACACCUUUUCAGGCACCUGUCAAUGUAACUGAUUGGACAUAUGAACAUAAACAUUUGCUUCUUACUAGAUUAUUAUUUUAUGUCCGACAACAGAGCAUUGAAUAAUAAAUAAAGCUGUCAGUAACAGAUACAUUUUUAAAAGCCUCAACCCUACUUCAAGGACAGUAAGAAGAGUAAACAAAUAUCAGAUUAUCAGAUAAAAUAAUGUAAUAGAUUUGCUUUGAUCACGGCCACUCUAUAUUUUUUGGAAGACAAAGGGUUUCUGGGACUCAUGUCAGAGGCUUUCUCUUCUGGUACUGAGAAAGCUUCAAUUAGCUCCUGUGAUCGGUCAUCGGUAUCGGCCGAUACAGCUUUCAGUGAUCGAGGAUCGGUGAUCGGCUCCAGAAAUCCAGAUUGGAGCACCCCUAGACUUUGGCUACAUACAGACGACCUCAACAGACAUGAUUAAAAAAUUCAUCCAGACAGAGGCUGUAACAUCCAAACCCUUUAGUCUCUUUGACCUCAGUAAUGUUGGCCUGUUCAAGAUUACCACAAAGAAGAGCCCACAGUUCUUUUUUCACAGUUAACUUUAUUAGCUUAUUAAUUUUAUUCUACUUGACUCUUAAUUCAUCUCUUUCUUCUGUUAGUUUGGUAUUGUUUGAGUUUGAUAUUGUUGAUAUGUAGCUAGUCUCUCUCUCUCUCUUCUUGGUUGGUCACUCUCUUGUCUGUUUUUUUGUUGAUGAGACACACAGCACUAUGACUGCAGUCAGUAGAAGAACACACAGCACCACCAAACACACUAGAACUGAUCUGUGACUUCUGAUCCUCACAGACGCUCUUCCUGAAAAUGACAGACAUGUGUCAACCCAGUUCAUGUCCUAUACUAUAUUAUAGCAAGUUGUAACAUUUAACAUUACCUGAAAAACUCUGGAAUAGAGAUUUUUAGAGCAUCUUGUCAUUUUAGAUUGGCCUUGCUUUGGAGAAAAAAAGCAAUUACACAUACAAUAGUUUGCCACUUGGUGGGAGUGUAGAUGCACUAAUGUCAACUGUAUCAAUGGCAACUAUGCCAUGAGCACCCAUCCAUACUGUACCAAUGUGUAAACACACAUUUAGAUUUAAUCAUUAUCAGAUCCUGAAACGGCAAUGAGAAUAACAAAUAAAGUUCAAGGUUUCUCGGUCACAUGUUUAACUUAACAGUGAAAUACUUCUAGCACAAGUGUCAUGACACUUAGCAUGACUUACAUAUAGCUUUUUGGAGUUGAGGAAGGAUGUGUGAAGUUUUUUAACCGCUUACAGUCAGACCAACUCUAAUCAUGAACAAUGUUUUAUUUGCAUUUUAAUGUAUUUAUCACAUUUAAAUCCAUAAUAAAAUAAUAUAACAGUUAA